rnacentral:rRNA from 1 species
AACGACUCUCGGCAACGGAUAUCUCGGCUCUUGCAUCGAUGAAGAACGUAGCGAAAUGCGAUACUUGGUGUGAAUUGCAGAAUCCCGUGAACCAUCGAGUCUUUGAACGCAAGUUGCGCCCGAAGCCUUUUUGGCCGAGGGCACGC